UACGUAGGGGGCAAGCGUUGUCCGGAUUUAUUGGGCGUAAAGAGCGUGUAGGCGGCCACACAGGUCAGCUGUGAAAACUCGAGGCUCAACCUCGAGACGUCGGUUGAAACCGUUUGGCUAGAGUCCGGAAGAGGAGAGUGGAAUUCCCGGUGUAGCGGUGAAAUGCGCAGAUAUCGGGAAGAACACCCGUGGCGAAGGCGGCUCUCUGGGACGGUACUGACGCUGAGACGCGAAAGCGUGGGGAGCGAACGAGGA
rnacentral:rRNA from 1 species